GAAAAAUGAGAGUUGAAGCGAACCAUCUUAGGAGUUGAAUUGAAAUUCCGAAAUAAUAAUAAAAAAGGAAAAAAGGGGGAUGAUGGAUCAAGGAUCGUUGAUCUGAGAACCUAAGAUGAUAUAAAAAACCUUAACCUUUGUUUGUCUGUCUGUCUUACAGUUGGGCCAUCUAUCCAAUUUUCUUUAUUUAUCUUCUUCCUUCCCUUUGUUCUGCCUCAUUUAAUCUAAAAGCUAGCGUUGUUGUUGUUGGUAUCCAAUAUUGGAAAAUCAAAUCAAAUAAUAAACAGAAGAUGAUGAUGAUGACAAUGGAGGGGAUGAUGGACAAGGGAGUGCUUGAUGAUGUGAUCAGAAGAUUGCUUGAAGGGAAGGGAGGAAAACAGGUUCAGCUCUCUGAGUCUGAGAUCCGUCAACUCUGCGUCAACGCUCGACAAAUCUUCCUCUCUCAACCAAUUCUUCUUGACCUUCGUGCUCCCAUCCGCAUCUGCGGUGAUAUACAUGGUCAGUACCAAGACUUAUUGAGGCUUUUUGAAUAUGGUGGAUACCCUCCUGCGGCAAAUUACUUGUUUCUGGGGGAUUAUGUGGAUAGAGGGAAGCAAAGUUUGGAGACUAUAUGUUUGCUUUUGGCCUACAAGAUAAGAUAUCCGGAUAAAAUUUAUCUGUUGAGGGGAAAUCAUGAAGAUGCAAAGAUAAACAGGAUAUAUGGUUUUUAUGAUGAAUGUAAAAGGAGGUUCAAUGUUAGGCUAUGGAAGAUAUUCACAGAUUGCUUUAAUUGUUUGCCGGUAGCUGCACUCAUUGAUGAGAAAAUACUUUGUAUGCAUGGGGGACUCUCUCCAGAGCUACAAAAUUUAGGUCAGAUAAGGGAGAUUCAAAGGCCUACUGAAAUUCCGGAUAGUGGUCUCCUUUGUGAUCUGCUGUGGUCUGAUCCUGAUGCUAGCAUUGAGGGCUGGGCAGAUAGCGACCGAGGCGUUUCGUGUACUUUUGGACCUGAUGCACUUGCAGAGUUUUUGGAUAAAAAUGACCUUGAUCUUGUCUGCAGAGGGCAUCAGGUAAACCUCUUAUUUCAUAUCAGCAGAUUAAGCAGGAUAUAAAAUAGAGGUUGGGAGAGCAUAUUUGUACUGGUCUUACAGGUUGUGGAGGAUGGAUAUGAGUUUUUCGCUAAAAGAAGAUUAGUCACAAUAUUUUCUGCUCCAAAUUAUGGUGGGGAAUUUGACAACGCCGGUGCAUUGUUGAGUGUUGACGAAUCUCUUGUAUGUUCCUUUGAGAUAUUGAAACCCGUUGAUAGAGGAUCAGGAAGUGGUACAUCAAAAAUGAAUUUAAAGAAGCCCCCUAAACUUGGAAAGGUCUAGUAUUUGGCAAAGAUUUUCGGUUCAAAUAGGAAUUCAAUCCAGCUAACUAAACUUGUACGGAGUUGAAAUCGCCAAGGAGUUUGACAUGGGGGAGCUUUCCUUCGUCCAAUUUACGAGUUGCAGAUUGCCAAUGAUACUAUAUUGUAAACUGAACUACCAAGGCAUUCUUCUGUGCAGGAGCAGAGAUUAUUGCUUUGUACACCAGUGGUUGCUUGUGUUUGGCAAAUUAGCAUGUAAUUUGUGAGUGCAAAGAGAUUUCAUGUUAUCAAAUGCGUAAAUUUCUAUGCCAUUUAUCUGAAUGACUGCUCAGGAAUGUUGUUUUUGGUAGAGACCUGUCCCAGCGGCUUUCCCUGUUGCUAUGGUACUCAUAACGUAAUCAAUCAUACCACUACUUGUCUUCAACUUUCCAUUGGAUAAUAACUAGCCAAUUCACCACGUUGGAAUUCUCACAUGACAAGGAUACCAUGUUCUGAUUCUUAGAAACAUCACUGUUCCUUGCUUCUCUCACUUAAAAACAAAUGUUACUUUUCUUUGCAUCCUACGGCGAUUAGCUGCAUUAUAUGAAAACCUAUUCCC